AGGAGAAAUGGAAAAAACAGGUGGUGUCCAUGGGGUGCCAAAACAACAGGUUGACUCAGUCAGUUCUGCCCCACAACUAAUCAAUUUGGUGAGGGAGAGGGGAGGGAAUCUUAGUCACCCGGUUGUCUGACCACACUGACUGGCUAGACCACUGUACAGUGAUCAAUGAGUACACGUCUGAACUUCAGUCAC